AACGAACGCUGGCGGCGCGCCUAAUACAUGCAAGUCGGGCGAGAAGACGUAGCAAUACGUUUGUAAAGCGGCGAACGGGUGAGGAAUACAUGGGGUAACCUACCCUCGAGUGGGGAAGUAACUAGCCGAAAGGUUAGCUAAUACCGCGUACGCUCCUUGGACUUCGGUUCAGGGAGGAAAGCGAUACCGUGGGUAUCGCGCUCUUGGAUGGGCUCAUGUCCUAUCAGCUUGUUGGUGAGGUAACGGCUCACCAAGGCUUCGACGGGUAGCUGGUCUGAGAGGACGAUCAGCCACACUGGCACUGCGACACGGGCCAGACUCCUACGGGAGGCAGCAGUAAGGAAUAUUGCGCAAUGGGCGAAAGCCUGACGCAGCGACGCCGCGUGGGGGAGUGAA
rnacentral:rRNA from 1 species